AUUGAACGCUGGCGGCAUGCCUUACACAUGCAAGUCGAACGGCAGCACGGGCUUCGGUCUGGUGGCGAGUGGCGAACGGGUGAGUAAUGUAUCGGAACGUACCAUUGAGUGGGGGAUAACGUAGCGAAAGUUACGCUAAUACCGCAUAUUCUCUCCGGAGGAAAGCAGGGGACCGCAAGGCCUUGCGCUCUUUGAGCGGCCGAUAUCAGAUUAGCUAGUUGGUGGGGUAAAAGCUCACCAAGGCGACGAU
rnacentral:rRNA from 1 species